GAUCAGGGGAGUCACUUCAUUGACUCUGGGAACUGGCAGCUUAUUUUUCCUCUCUCUUAGGAGCUCACCGGAGGUUUGUGGUGUUACCAGGGCACUUUCGGUCGGAGUUGCUCUGCGCUCCCCUCCUGCAGCUCCUCCAGGCACCAGAAGCUCCAGAGAAGGUUGGCCUUUUAGGUCUUGAGCUGAACGCUGAGGCUACGAACGGUUCUUCUUUUGACUUCAUCCCACACCAGUGUGAUGCUCCUCUGAAACCAGGUUAGAGAAAACUGAAGAAUGAAAAA
rnacentral:lncRNA from 1 species